rnacentral:rRNA from 1 species
UACGUAGGGGGCUAGCGUUGUCCGGAAUCACUGGGCGUAAAGCGUCUGUAGGUGGUUUAAAAAGUCCACUGUUAAAGGUUGAAGCUUAACUUCAAAAAUGCUGUGGAAACUUUUAAACUAGAGUAUGGUAGGGGUAGAGGGAAUUUCCAGUGGAGCGGUGGAAUGCGUAGAUAUUGGAAAGACCACCAAUGGCGAAGGCACUCUACUGGGCCAUUACUGACACUGAGAGACGAAAGCUAGGGGAGCGAGUGGG